GAUGAAGAACGUAGCGAAAUGCGAUAAGUAAUGCGAAUUGCAGAAUUUCCGUGAGUCAUCGAAUCUUUGAACGCAUAUUGCGCCCUUUGGUAUUCCGAAGGGCAUGCCUGUUCGAGCGUCAUUAUCACCCCUCAAGCCCCGGCUUGGUGUUGGGCCCCCGGUGGUCGUACCCGACCACCCGCCUCAAAGAUAGUGACGGCGUCCCAAGAGGGAACCGGUACGAGGAGCUUUCACGAGCAUGUACGCGGGACGACUCUGUGGGCGACGGUCUUUUUUAACCUUAAUAUAUCAAGUGUUGACCUCGGAUCAGGUAGGAAUACCCGCUGAACUUAAGCAUAUCAAUAAGCGGAGGA
rnacentral:misc_RNA from 1 species